rnacentral:tRNA from 1 species
GCCCGAAUGGCGGAACGGUAGACGCGCUAGCUUCAGGUGCUAGUAAUUUUUAUAUUGUGGAAGUUCGACUCUUCUUUCGGGCA